UUGUAUGUGGCAGGCUUUCAUUCAUUCGUUGCAUGUCCGGUGAAGGUCUGCUAUGUGCCAAG
rnacentral:pre_miRNA from 1 species